GUCCUGGCUUUGGCAGCACAUACACUAGGAUUAGAGUGAUACAGAUAUUAGCAUGGCCGCUGAGCAAAUAUGACACAUACAUUUAUGGAGAAUUCCAUAUUUUU